rnacentral:ncRNA from 1 species
CAAAACACCGCGGGAGAGAUCGGCUCAGGCCGACGCCGAAGGCGCAAACCGUCCGGAAUCGCUCAGGCAGAAGGACCUCGGUGUGGGG